GAGCGGACAGAUGGGAGCUUACCACUUACAGAUGGACCCGCGGCGCAUUAGCUAGUUGGUGAGGUAACGGCUCACCAAGGCAACGAUGCGUAGCCGACCUGAGAGGGUGAUCGGCCACACUGGGACUGAGACACGGCCCAGACUCCUACGGGAGGCAGCAGUAGGGAAUCUUCCGCAAUGGACGAAAGUCUGACGGAGCAACGCCGCGUGAGUGAUGAAGGUUUUCGGAUCGUAAAGCUCUGUUGUUAGGGAAGAACAAGUACCGUUCGAAUAGGGCGGUACCUUGACGGUACCUAACCAGAAAGCCACGGCUAACUACGUGCCAGCAGCCGCGGUAAUACGUAGGUGGCAAGCGUUGUCCGGAAUUAUUGGGCGUAAAGGGCUCGCAGGCGGUUUCUUAAGUCUGAUGUGAAAGCCCCCGGCUCAACCGGGGAG
rnacentral:rRNA from 1 species